CCUUCGGGGGUCCCAUUUGUCCUCUCUAGGCCAGAACCCUGUGGGCUUCUGCUUGGUGUCCAGGGGCACAGUGCUUGCUGCCCCCUCCCCAGAAGAUAGGCAGGCACAUAGCUGGACUGCAGGAAGCCUGCCUUGUCCUGGCUGGUGGACUAAGCCUGCCCACCCUGGCCAUGCCUCGGGUCACCAAAUGAAGACCCCCAGCACACCGAGAAAGAGCGUCUUUCUGAAUGCGUGGGGAACAGCCAGCUCGGCUCGGCACACCCCGUCGGCAGGAGCCAGGGCCUGCGAGGCUGGAGGGCAGGCGCAGCGGCCCAGGUGCAGGAGAGGACACACGAAGCCCCCUGGGUGACCUGCAGACCACCCCAGAAUGAGAGCAGGCCCAGGAAGCCUCUGCAGGCUCCGGUCCCUGAGGAGGACAGCUGCCACACCCGCGGGUCGUCCUCGCUGGCCAGCAGCUCCCUCCAGGACACCUGGAGGUUGCUAGACCUGGGCUCCAGCCCUUCAGGCCUCCCCUCCCAGGACGACUCAGCUCCAGGUAGGAGAGUUCCUGCCCGGCUGACGUGUGCCCGCCACUCCCUGAGGCUGACGCCGGCGGGCGCUGCCUUGAGGCCUUGGCCUCCUGGGUCUGCUUCAGGUGCUCCA